UUGUAAUGUUUUUUUCUCUCUCUUCUCUCCCUCUCUCUCUCUCGUACGCUCUCUCUUUUCUCACCAUCACUUUCAUCUCUCCUCCCUGCCUCAUCUCCUCCUCCACCACCGCAUCCACCACAACCUCCACCACCACCUACAAAUCGAUCUCCGAAUCAGAACGUCCUCUCCGCUUCCGGUGAUGCCGCCGUCAUCAGAAUCACGUUAUUCUUCCUCUCAGGUUCCUUGUGUCAAUUUGCUCAUAAACUUUGUAGAAAUCAUAACUCUUAUUGCUGCAGCUGCAACAGAAAUUGGGAAUUGGAGGAAGUAUGUGAAACCCGUAUUCUGGACAGGGGCUCACUAAAACGGUAACUGCUCUUUCUCUAUAACUCCGAAUUUAGUGUGGUUUGUCUCUAUGGUUAGCUAACGAAAUUCCGGUCGUUCCGACGCCAAUAUUAUGAAUUAUGGAGCUGUAAUGAAUCCUGCAGACGCGUUUGAAGUUCAGGGUCAGGUGCAGAAUUUUGGGAUUGAGGUUAGCAUCAUGAUCAUCAUCUUGAGCUACUGGGAAUUCUAUGGAGUAGCUCAUUUCUUAAAGUUUCUGAGUUAAUCUCAUUCAGGUUUUGAUAUGUGAUUUCUUGAAUCCAUCAUGGGACAAGAGUGAGUAACAUGAAAUUUGAGUUUAUUCUGGACAGGGGCUCACUAAAACGGUAACUGCUCUUUCUCUAUAACUCCGAAUUUAGUGUGGUUUGUCUCUAUGGUUAGCUAACGAAAUUCCGGUCGUUCCGACACCAAUAUUAUGAAUUAUGGAGCUGUAAUGAAUCCUGCAGACGCGUUUGAAGUUCAGGGUCAGGUGCAGAAUUUUGAGUUUGAGGUUAGCAUCAUGAUCAUCAUCUUGAGCUACUGGGAAUUCUAUGGAGUAUGUGUUUCCUAUACUACUGUCAGCUUCCUCAGCAUAAUCUUGCUACCAAUAGUUGGCAAUGCAGCUGAACAUGCAGGAGUUUAUAUGUGUUACAAGGUUUUGUGCAUCUUUAUUCCAUAAUUAUCUGCAUAUACUUAUCCACCUUCAUCGUUCUUAGUGUAGAGGUAAUAGGGUGCAUUGCACUUUGUGGGAUGAUUUUGCUCUAAAUAUGCAGAAAUUCUUGGAUAUACUCAUGAUUCAUCCCUACCUAUGGUAAUCAUAAUACAACUAUGCAAGCUUAAGAAGUACCUUAGUAGGAAAAUACUUCCUUUUCACCUAUUGUUUGAAAUAUAGCUCUGGUGGUUUAUUUUUUUGUUUCCAUUUGAGUAUGUGCUAUGUAAAUUUCAAAUUCUUUUUAUGGAUCAGAAUUGUUGUUGAAUGCUCAGAUUCCUGAGGUAUCUAAUUAUAUAGAAACUUAGAAAGGUGAUUCUUCUAUGCUGGUUGCUUGAAUUUCCUUUAGCUACUCUUUGGUGCUUCAUUGUCUAUUUUCUUAAAUAAAUGAUGAAUGUUGCUAAUGUGUAGUUGAGUCAAGUGGUUAAUCAAAUGAUCGGACCAGUGAUGCAUAGUGUCGUCGAUGAUUUGCUGUAGACCCCAAAGAUGACUAUUGAGGAUCUCAUUGAAUCUACCGAGAUAAAUUUGGAACCCAUGUUGGUGAAUCAUAAUUGCUACUUUGUAGGGGAGGGGGGAUAGGUAUUUAUGGUUAUUACUAUUUUAUAGGGAUGACUACAUCAUCAUUGCUACUUUUUAGGAAGUCUUGAGUAUCCAACCCUGUAUUUUUGCAUAACUCCUUCACUAAUCCACACAUAUUUUCUCAUUGAUCAAAUACACCACUCUUCUAAUUUUCUUUUCUAUUCAUCUCCUCUGUGUUUUGUCUAUCCUAUCUCAAUACCAUCUUCGUCUAACCCUUCAUUUCCCAUAUGGCAUCCUAUCUCACAUAAUUAAAUGACUGUUAUAAAACCCAAUCCAGGAAAGAAAGAAAAAAAGUCGGACUCUUAUCUUUCUUGCUUUAGAUGGCUGGCUUUGGAAACAGAGAUAUGACAUGCUUUGUUGUAAUUUUGAAUGCUUUAAUAUACAUUACUUAAUUGCUUCAAUCUUUGCUUAUGAUACUAAGUAAAAAAAAAGUUCUCAACAACUUAAAUUAGGGAUAAGUAUGAAGUUUUGAACUUGGAGAGAUUGAUAUGUUUCAACCAAUGUGCAGUCCAAGAUCUCAUAUCUCACAAUGCGUUCAAUCUUUAUUAGAUUGCAAACUCUGUGAAUGUUGGUGGCUCAAAUUAUGUUGAAAGAUUCCUACUUUAAUAGGUUGGCUCAAAUUUUUAGUGGAUGGAGAUAUUAUGAAGAUGAAAUUAGUUGUCAUCCAAGCAUAGACUUUGCAGCAAAGAAAGUAACUGUUGUUGGAGAUGUGACUCAAUUGAGUGUAAUGGCAAGCAUAACAAAGGUGAAGUCUGCAUAAAUUUGGCCAGAAUUUGCUUCACCAAUUGGAGCUACAAGUGGUGCUGCUGAAUAAAGGAAAUAAAUUAUAGGUGCUUUCGUAUGCUUUGAGUCUGUAUUAGGUGGUAGUUUAAUUAGUGUAAAUGAGAAUGUUAGCAAGUGAAGUUGUGGCUUUGAAGAGAUAUUGGUAGUUUAUUUAGAAGGAGCUUUAUCUUUGCAUAAGGAUUGACUAUUGAAACCGAUUUUCAUAAUGAGUCUGAUGUGUGGAUAUAAAUAGUGGAUCAUAUAAGUAAAGAUUCAUUUUUUAAA